AUUGAACGCUGGCGGCAUGCUUUACACAUGCAAGUCGAACGGUAACAGGGUGCUUGCACCGCUGACGAGUGGCGAACGGGUGAGUAAUGCAUCGGAAUGUACCGUGUAAUGGGGGAUAGCUCGGCGAAAGCCGGAUUAAUACCGCAUACGCCCUGAGGGGGAAAGUGGGGGACCGAAAGGCCUCACGUUAUACGAGCAGCCGAUGUCUGAUUAGCUAGUUGGUGAGGUAAAGGCUCACCAAGGCGUCGAUCAGUAGGGGGUCUGAGAGGAUGAUCCGCCACACUGGGACUGAGACACGGCCCAGACUCCUACGGGAGGCAGCAGUGGGGAAUUUUGGACAAUGGGCGCAAGCCUGAUCCAGCCAUGCCGCGUGUCUGAAGAAGGCCUUCGGGUUGUAAAGGACUUUUGUCCGGGAGCAAAUCCUAGUGGUUAAUAACCGCUGGGUCUGAGAGUACCGGAAGAAUAAGCACCGGCUAACUACGUG
rnacentral:rRNA from 1 species